CUUGGUCAUUUAGAGGAAGUAAAAGUCGUAACAAGGUUUCCGUAGGUGAACUGCGGAAGGAUCAUUCAUAAAUAAGUGUUUUACUGCACUUUUUAAAAAUAGUACUCACCUUGUGUGCAAUGUUGUGUUUCUUUUCGGAAAAAAAACCUACAACCCCACCUAUAACCUGAACCACUUUGUCUGAAAAACUAUUAUGAAUACUUAAUUCAAAAUACAACUUUCAACAACGGAUCUCUUGGCUCUCGCAUCGAUGAAGAACGCAGCGAAAAUGCGAUACGUAAAUGUGAAAUUGCAGAAAUUCAGUGAAUCAUCGAAUCUUUGAACGCACAUUGCACUCUCUGGUAUUCCGGAGAGUAUGCUUGUUUGAGUAUCAGUAAACACCUCAAGUCUCUUCUCUAGAGAAGAGGAAUUGGACUUGAGCAAUCCCAACUCUUUGCGAGGAGAGGCGGGUUGCUUGAAAUGCAGGUGCAGCUGGACGUUCUUCUGAGCUAAAAGCAUAUUUAUUUAGUCCCGUCAAACGGAUUAUUACUUUUGCUCUAGCUAAUAUAAAGGUUGAAUGCGCUAUAUGCUGACUGAUGCAGGAUUACCGAGUUUUACUAGCUAAAACUUGUAAACUCGAAUCUCAAAUCAAGUAAGGACUUACCCGCUGAACUGAAAGCAAUAAUCAAUGAGCGGAGGUGA
rnacentral:rRNA from 1 species